AAUUUACUACCACAUUUGGCCUAACUUGUAUUAUAAUGGCAUAGUUAAUUCAAAAGUUUAGUGUAUACCUACAGAAUGUUUCUCGUAUCGAAAAUUAGGUGUGCCACACCGAAUAAAGUUGCAAACAUAAAAAAUCUCGACAUAUUGCGAAAUUGAACCAAAUACAAAACGCGGCGCUCCUCUUAACGGCAUAUAUUUUUCAGAAUGCGAAAAUUACCGCGCGUUACGCGACAAAUCAAGAGAUUCAAGACUGGUAUAUGCAUGAUAUAAUGGACCCGUUGCCACUUUUAGAAAGCA